CAGUCGAGCGGACCGACGGGAGCUUGCUCCCUUAGGUCAGCGGCGGACGGGUGAGUAACACGUGGGUAACCUGCCUGUAAGACUGGGAUAACUCCGGGAAACCGGGGCUAAUACCGGAUGCUUGAUUGAACCGCAUGGUUCAAUCAUAAAAGGCGGCUUCGGCUGCCGUUUACAGAUGGACCCGCGGCGCAUUAGCUAGUUGGUGAGGUAACGGCUCACCAAGGCGACGAUGCGUAGCCGACCUGAGAGGGUGAUCGGCCACACUGGGACUGAGACACGGCCCAGACUCCUACGGGAGGCAGCAGUAGGGAAUCUUCCGCAAUGGACGAAAGUCUGACGGAGCAACGCCGCGUGAGUGAUGAAGGUUUUCGGAUCGUAAAGCUCUGUUGUUAGGGAAGAACAAGUACCGUUCGAAUAGGGCGGUACCUUGACGGUACCUAACCAGAAAGCCACGGCUAACUACGUGCCAGCAGCCGCGGUAAUACGUAGGUGGCAAGCGUUGUCCGGAAUUAUUGGGCGUAGAGCGCGCGCAGGCGGUUUCUUAAGUCUGAUGUGAAAGCCCCCGGCUCAACCGGGGAGGGUCAUUGGAAACUGGGGAACUUGAGUGC
rnacentral:rRNA from 1 species